CAGCGUGGUAUCGUGUAUUACGCGUAAUACACGUCCCGCGUUACCACGGUCGAACGAUUGCGCUCAGUAGAGCAGAAAUCGGUAAGGCGAGUGCACACUCGCCUCUUCUUUUUCUCGAGUUCGUCUUCGCAUCGUCUUGGACCAAACUGGAACGACAAAAUUUCGACGAAUCGUGCGGGGCUCGUGCAAGUCAAGGUCCGUAUAAUUUUCUGCCCGUUAGCCCGGGAUUAACCGGAGGGAAAGAUCGAAUCGGGCAGCCUAACGCUCUCGCAGGAAGAAAUUAAUCUCGAGGAUCGAACAUAUGUAUACACGUCGGAUUGGCCCGUGAUUAUUAUUACUCCGGAAGUGUCUGGCCGAUAUGAGAAAACGUAAUCCGCACGAGCAAAUUGUUCGUGGCAAAUUCAGACUCGGAUGAAAAAUUGGAACGCACGAAGCGGAGGAACGUGCGGCGACAGGUGAAACGUUCUGGCGAGUUCUCUGUUCUUUGCGUGGGUACUUUGAUUCGAAACUGAACCUACAAAAUUUCAAUGAAAAAUAGUGAAUUAACAACAGACGAAGACAAAAGAAUUAUAAGCAGUAACGACAAACUCGUUCGCGAAUGCAGAUACAGAUCCAGAAAGAUGUACACGUAUUCAGAGAACUCGCGUCAUGCGAUUCUCGUUUCACGUCAUGCUAAAUCGCUUUUUAUACACUAUAAUAAAAGGACUCUGACAGAAUGAAAUUCGUCGACAGAGCAAGAGACUCGAACGAAAGAACCUGUUCCUAGAUAACGGAACACUGAUGGAUGAAGAAUACGGGAUGAUAUCAGAGAUCGAAUGUAUUUGCACCGAAAUGUGAAAAGUAUUGUAAAGUAUUUGAACAGUUAUUACAUUACGUGUAAAACGUUAUGCGAAACGUUUUGAAAUUUUAAUUUCCAUAAUUUUUACAUAAUUUCAAUUAUCAAUAAAUUAUUGUUAUUAGUAAAACAAUUAUUAUAUGUAGACAGAAAUUUGUUUCAGCCACUAGAUAUCAGAAAAAGUCCACUUUCAAUAUUUUUUGGAAUUAUUUGCAUUCUUGGUAUCUAUAAAUACUUCAUCAUUGGAGUAUUAUAAAAAUCCGUAAUCGAAUUAAAAAGUGUAAGAAAAAGCCUGUGAAUGUCAGAUAUCAAAUUCCCCGUCACUAUAGUACAUUCUACUUGAAAAUAAAAAAUAACAUCAUAUUAGGCAAAAUAAUAAUCAUGUGCAAGUAACCUAGGGACAAAAUUAGUGAACUUGACGAUGAAUGAUAAGUUUUCCUUCUCCCUUCAAUUACGAUUAUAUUGAUAAAAUUCGAAUCCAAUCAAAUUAUAAGAUAUAAAGCUUGUAGCAUAUGUCUACUAAAAAAUUAAUAUACAGCAUGAAUAAUCAUUUGAAGUGUAUAAAUAAAUGUCAAAGAUGAUCUCACUGAAUAUUGAAGCUUCUAAUACUUUUGUGAACUCUCUUGCGAAAUAUCUUGUGAUUUGUCUAUGUAUGUUCCAGAUUUAUCUCAAACUUGACAAACGUAAUUCUGACACAGAAAUACGACGUAUUGAAUGAAAUGUUAAAAUGUUUCAUGUAACACGCAAAAGUGAUAUAUUCGUAAAAAGGUUUUGCAGUUGUUCAAAUGAGCAAUCAUAUGUCACACGAAAGAAAGAACGGAAGUAGACGAAAAUUAAAAUAAAUAGAAACUAAAAUUAACGAGAAGGAACAAGAUCUGAGAUCGAGUAAUACUAAAUAAUGUUCAGUGAAUUGAAACUUGAAAUUUUAGUAAUGAAAUAAAGUAGGUCGUAGUAACAUCAAUUCAUAUCGAAUUUUGCUACUUUCGAA